UUUCACUCUGUUGCCCAGGCUGGAGUGCAGUGGCGCGUUCUCAGCUCAAUUCAACUUCCACCUCCCAAGUUCUUGUGCCUCAGCCUCCUGAGUAGCUGGGACUACAGGCACAUGCCACCACACCCAGCUAAUUUUUGUAUCUUUAGUAGAGACCGGGUUUCACUAUGUUGGCCAGGCUGGUCUCAAACUCUGGACCUCAAGUGAUACGCCCGCCUCGGCCUCCCAAAGUGCUGAUGUUAUAGGCAUGAGCCACUGCACCUGCCAUUUUUGUUGUUGUUGUUUUGUUUUUGUUUUUUUUUAGACAUAGGGCCUUGCUCUGUCACCAAGGCUGGAAGGCAAAGUCUCCAUCAUAGCUCACUGCAGCCUCCAACUCCUGGGCUCCAACAACCCUCUCACCUCAGCCUCCCAAAGUGUUAGGAUUACAGGCAUGAGCCAUUGCGCCUGCCCAACUCUUUUUUAACUCUUUGAUUUUGAGAUCAUUUUAGACUUACAGAAUAAUUGCAAAAAAUAGUGGCAUUCCCAUACAUUCUUUCCCAGCUCCCCCUGACAUUAACAUCGCACAUAACUGCAGUACAAUGACCCAAACUAGAAAACGAACAUUGGGCCAGGUGGCUCAUGCUUAUAAUCCCAGCACUUUGGGAGGCCGAGGCGGGAGGAUCACUUGAGCCCAGGAGUUCAAGACCAGCCUAGGUAGCAUACCAAGAACGUUGUCUCUUUAAAAAAAAAAAAAAAAAGCCGGGCAUGGUAGCUCAUGCCUGUAAUCCCAGCACUUUGGAAGGCCGAGGCUGGUAGAUCACCUGAGGUCAGGACUUUGAGACCAGCCUGGUCCACAUGGUGAAACCCCUGUCUCUACUAAAAAUACAAAAAUUAGCCAGGCGUGGUAGCGUGCGCCUGUAAUCCCAGCUACUUGGGAGACUGAAGCAGGAGAAUCGCUUGAACCUGGGAGACUGAGGUUGCAGUGAGCCAGGAUCGCGCCACUGCAUUCCAGCCUAGGCAACGGAGCAAGACUACAUCUCAAAAAAUAUAUAAAAAAUAAAAAUAAAUAAACAAUUACCUGGGUUUGGUGGUAUGCACCUGUAGUUCCAAUUACUUGGGAAGCUGAGGCAGGAGGAUCGCUUGAGCCCAGGAGUUUGAGGCUGCAGUGAGCCAUGAUCACACCACUGCACUCCAGCCUGGACCACAGAGUGAGACUCCAACUCUAAAAAUAAAAAAAUCAAAAUGGGUAAAGGAUCUGAAUACAUCUUGCUCCAAAGAAGAUGUACAAAUGAUCAAUAACACAUGAAAAGAUGCUCAACAACAUGAGUCAUUAGGGAAAUGCAAAUCACAACCACAAAGAGAUACCACUUCAUACCCAC
rnacentral:lncRNA from 10 species